GGCCGAGUGGCUCAGUUGGUUGGAGCGUGGUCUUGUACACCAAAAGGUUGUGGGUUCAAUUCCCGUCAGGGCAC
rnacentral:tRNA from 1 species